rnacentral:misc_RNA from 1 species
AAGUCGUAACAAGGUUUCCGUAGGUGAACCUGCGGAAGGAUCAUUAGUGAAAUGGCCGCCGGACGGCGCUGGGUCGGUCCCCGAAUAGGAGGACUCCGAAAGGACUCCGGCUCCUUGCCCGUCCGGCACCGCGGCCGAAACAUCCCUCUGUGCACAGUUCAAAAACAUUUUUCCACCUCAAAUUCUAAAAGACUGAAUCUCUAUCUCCUCUUGUCGGCGACCCCAGAGUGGGCCCGGCGGAUGUGAACUGAAAACAACUUUUGACAACGGAUCUCUUGGCUCUC